CAGUCGCCACGGGAAUACAGAGGGUGCGAGCGUUAAUCGGAUUUACUGGGCGUAAAGCGUGUGUAGGUUGUUGUUCAAGUCAGUUGUGAAAUCCCUGGGCUCAACCUGGGAACUGCUUCUGAGACUGAACGACUAGAGUACGGUAGAGGGUGGUGGAAUUCCACGUGUAGCAGUGAAAUGCAUAGAUAUGACAUAGAACACCAAUUGCGAAGGCAGCUGGCUACACAACUAUUGACGCUGAGGCACGAAAGCGUGGGGAUCAAACAGGAUUAGAUACCCCAGUAGUCCCUGUCUCUUAUAC
rnacentral:rRNA from 1 species